UACGGGGGGAGCAAGCGUUGUUCGGAUUUACUGGGCGUAAAGGGCGCGUAGGCGGUCAGCACAAGUCAGUUGUGAAAUCUCCGGGCUUAACUCGGAAAGGUCAACUGAUACUGUGCGACUAGAGUGCGGAAGGGGAAACUGGAAUUCUCGGUGUAGCGGUGAAAUGCGUAGAUAUCGAGAGGAACACCUGCGGCGAAGGCGGGUUGCUGGGCCGACACUGACGCUGAUGCGCGAAAGCCAGGGGAGCGAACGGG
rnacentral:rRNA from 1 species